rnacentral:rRNA from 1 species
AACCUCUGGUGUGCCAGUUGUUCUGCCAAGGGCAUGGCUGGUUGGCUACGUUCGGGAGGGAUAACCGCUGAAAGCAUCUAAGCGGGAAGCCUGCUUCGAGAUGAGUAUUCCCACCUCCUUGAGAGGGUAAGGCUCCCAGUAGACGACUGGGUUGAUAGGCCGGAUAUGGAAGCCCUGUAAGGGGUGGAGUUGACCGGUACUAAUAGGCCGAGGGCUUGUCCUCAGUUG